GCGCCAAGCCCAGAGGCAAUGCCACCGGAUUGCUGCCGCUGCAGAUACGAGCAGGAUAUCCAGCCAUGAUGCCCUCCCACCUCGGAGGAGUGUGAUCACCGAUCAGGCUAAAGCAGCCAAUGGCGUGACCCAGUUCACGACUUCCGGGGACAUGUUCCGCAGAAGGUCACACAGAAUCCCUGUAAAUGGUGAUUGAUCGGAUUGUGCUGGAUUUGCUGUGUUCGUGUGGCGUGUAUCGCACACACUUGGAGUGCGGUGGCUUUGACCGAGUAGAGAGGGGUGUGCAGGGAUGCUGCGAGAUGAAGAGCGAACGCACAAACGAGAUCUCGCGGGAACUUACGAGAACACCGCGGCAACAGCUGACGUUUGACAAUACGGCGUGAUGGGAUCAAGCUUACCCUAUCACGCACCGUGACGCGGCCACGUGAUCCGAAUGACGCGACCUCGGUGAUUCUCGCGAGAAUCGACGAAACUGACAACAAACGAUGUGUGUGUGUGCGUGUGCGUGUGUGUG